rnacentral:rRNA from 1 species
UGGGGAACCUGCCCCAUAGUCUGGGAUACCACUUGGAAACAGGUGCUAAUACCGGAUAAGAAAGCAGAUCGCAUGAUCAGCUUUUAAAAGGCGGCGUAAGCUGUCGCUAUGGGAUGGCCCCGCGGUGCAUUAGCUAAUUGGUAAGGUAAAGGCUUACCAAGGCGAUGAUGCAUAGCCGAGUUGAGAGACUGAUCGGCCACAUUGGGACUGAGACACGGCCCAAACUCCUACGGGAGGCAGCAGUU